AAGUAAAUCUGUUUCAUACGAAUUCAAUUACAAUUCCUCUAGUCAGUUGCUUCUAAUUUUUACAAGAAACCGUUUAGGUUAUUUGUCGCAAUAAGCAAUGGAAGGAAAGUUUAAACUGUUUUUAGUCUCUAUUUUUAGAAAAUUUAAUUGUUUUUAUGAGCUUUCAUGAUAUGAUAUUAAUUAUCUGUUUCAAGAAACUCGCUCAAUUAGAUGGUUGAAGCCUGUAGAAGUGCUCUUUGUAUUGCAGAACCUGUAGAAGUGCUCACACAUUAGCUAGAUCAAAGCCUGUAGG
rnacentral:misc_RNA from 1 species